rnacentral:lncRNA from 10 species
AUGAAUAAAAUGAAAAUAAUGAAUAAAAAGCUACCAACAAAAAAAAUUAAAAAAAGUCAUACGUUUAAUCUUUCCUGAAAUUCCCUUCCAUAGCUGCUGGCUGUACAAACAGUUCCUCUUUGCAAAUGAACUUCAUUAGAACCCAUAACUGUGCCAAUACAAACUGUGUUGGAGUGGUUCAAGGAUUAGCAAGAAGCCUGCAUGGUUGGAAAAGGUAGCAAAGAGGAGAGCAGUGGGAGAUUGUGUGGUGGGAGGCUGUAUUGUGAAAGGCCUUGUGGGCCAUUAAAGAACUAGGCUUUUAUUUGUAAUGUGAUAUAGAGCUUCAAAGAAGGUUUUAGACAAAGAACUGGUAAACUUUGGCUUUUAGUAAAGAGGUCUUGGAUUUUAGAAUGAUAAAUCUUUAUAAGAUUAAAUAUAGAAGCCUUUUAGGAGUGCCUACUAUAGGGAAGGUACUUGGCACAUAAUAAGGUGAAUAAUAAUAAGGUGAAUAAUAGAGUCCACGGCCUCAAGUAAAUUAGAGACUACCUC